rfam:Ophiostoma piceae TAMH 11346 chromosome Tnknown scf23, whole genome shotgun sequence.
UAUUUAAUUGAUUUUAUUAAUAGUUAUAUAUUUAUUUUAAAGAUUAAGUUAUAUAUAUUUAAAUAUAAAUAAUUAUACGGCGAAAUUACGAAUAACUUAUUAAAUUAAUUAUCGUUUAUUUAAUAACCUUUUAUUACUUAAAUAACCGUAAUAAUUUUAAAGUUAAUAUAUAUUAAAAACCCCGACUUUAAAAGGGAUAUAUUUAUUAAAUUAAAAAUUAAUGCCCCUCGGGGUUUAUUAAUAAUUUAUAAUAAUUUAUUAAAUCGUACGGCUUUACGCCGGCGAUAACUUAUUUAAAUUUCUAUUUUAUUAACUUUUAACGAUUAAAUUUAAGCCCGUUAUAGUAAUAACGAGUAACGGAAGGUUAAGGCUCGGCCCCGGAAAAAGAGCUUAAGAAACGGCUACUAUAUUUAAGGAAGGUAAUAAGCGCGUAAAUUACUUAAUCCCGACUCGGGGAGAUAGUAAUAAUAAAUAUUAAUAUAAGGCUUUUUUAGGUCUUAUAAUUAAAAUAAGUAUAAUUUAAUUCCCUUAACGAGGAAUAAUUAAAGGGUAAGUUUAGUAUUAAUAACCGCGGUAAUUUUAGCUUUAAUAACGUAUAUUAAAGUUAUUGUAAUUAAAAAGCUCGUAGUUAAACUUUAAGCUUAACUGGCCGGUCCGCUUUACCGCGUAUACUAGUCCGGCCGGGUCUUUCCCUUUAAAGAGCCGCAUGCCCUUUACUAAGCGUGUCGGGGAAUUAAGAUAUUUACUUUAAAAAAAUUAAAGUGUUUAAAGCAGGCUUAUACUCGAAUAUAUUAAUAUAAAAUAAUAAAAUAAAACGCGCGGUUUUAUUUUAUUAGUUUUUAAAACCGCCGUAAUAAUUAAUAAGGAUAGUCGGGGGCAUUAAUAUUUAAUAAUUAAAGGUGAAAUUUUUAAAUCUAUUAAAGAUUAAUUACUACGAAAACAUUUAUUAAAGAUAUUUUUAUUAAUUAAGAACGAAAAUUAAAAAAUUAAAGACGAUUAAAUACCGUUAUAAUUUUAAUUAUAAAUUAUGCCGAUUAAGGAUCGGACGAUGUUAUUUUUUAAUUCGUUCGGUACCUUAUACGAAAGUAUAAGUUUUUAGGUUUUAAGGGGAGUAUAGUCGUAAAGCUAAAACUUAAAAAAAUUAAUAAAAAGGCAUUAUUAAGGGUAAAGCCUACGGCUUAAUUUAACUUAAUACGGGGAAACUUAUUAGGUUUAAACACGAUAAGGAUUAAUAAAUUAAAAGCUUUUUUUUAAUUUCGUAAGUAGUAGUGUAUAGCCGUUUUUAAUUAGUAAAGUGAUUUAUUUACUUAAUCGCGAUAAUAAACGAAACUUUAACCUAUUAAAUAACCCGCGCUACUUUAAUAGCGUACUAGCUUUUUAAAAGGAUUAUCGGUUUAAACCGAUAAAAGUUUAAGGUAAUAAUAAGUUUAUAAUACCUUUAAAUGUUUUAAGCCGUACGCGCGUUAUACUAAUAAAGUUAACGAGUUCUUUUUUAAUCGAAAAGCUUGGGUAAUUUUAUAAAACUUUAUCGUAUUAAAGAUAAAGUAUUAUAAUUAUUACUUUUUAACGAAGAAUCCUUAAUAAACGUAAAUUAUUAAUUUACGUUAAUUACGUCCCUACUUUUUAUAUAUACCGCCCGUCGUUAUUACCGAUUAAAUAACUUAGUAAAGCUUCCGGACUAGCCUAAAGGGGUAAGCAACUACCUUUUUAAGCUAAAAAGUUAUUUAAACUCGGUUAUUUAAAGGAAGUAAAAGUCGUAAUAAAGUCUCCGUUAAUAAAUUAACGGAGGGAUUAUUA